GUCAUUAGCACUCCCUCUGAGAGUCAUUGAAGCCUCUUAGAGGUUCAUCUGGGCCUCAAGAUCACCUGAACCAAAGUGCAAAUGGAUAUGAAACCUUCCUGGAACUGCUGAAAGGGUUCUCUUUUAGGUGAUCCUGAGGGCACAGAUAAAUGCCCAUGGAAAGUGGGAGUUGGACUAUAGAGAUGUUGGGUCCUCCUGACCCCAAAGACAGACUUUUAUUCACAGGCUUCUUUGUUGUGGUUCUUGUGUAAGAAAGUUACAAUAAUUUUAUUAUGGCAAGCUUUUGAAUUUAAGUAUUGAUAUUCAGCUCCCAUUUUAGUUUGGACCUUUAUCUCGCUGAUCCAGUUUGGAUGAUGUGAAUUUUUUUCUUUCUUUUUUCUUUCAUUUCUUUUCCUUUAUUGUUGUUGUUGUAUGGUUCCUGGAAUGAAAUGUAUUCUGUUGUGUUUAUAUUUGUAAAUUAUACAGAUGACGUGUAUAUAUGUUAUCAUCAAUGUGUGAAAUUAGGCAUUUAUAAAUACCUGGAAAAUCUAUAGAAUGCCAAAAAUGGGGUGUCAAAAUAUUUCACACAUUUCCUAGGAAGUCUAUGCAAUGCCAGAAGGCAAACCAACAAAUAAAAAAAUACUCCCGCUAAAAUUGCAUUCUAACCUUCCUUAUUGCAGCAAGUAGAUCAAUACUGGUCUUUUGUUUUUCUUUUUUCAAUAAGAAAGUUCUGUACUUUAUUCUGCAUUUCUUCUUUCAUAUUUGUAUAUUGAUCAAAAAAAAAAUCAAGGGAACAGUAAACAGAAUGUACU